rnacentral:rRNA from 1 species
AGUGAACGCUGGCGGUAGGCCUAACACAUGCCAGUCGAACGGCAGCACAGUAAGAGCUUGCUCUUACGGGUGGCGAGUGGCGGACGGGUGAGGAAUACAUCGGAAUCUACUUUUUCGUGGGGGAUAACGUAGGGAAACUUACGCUAAUACCGCAUACGACCUACGGGUGAAAGCAGGGGAUCUUCGGACCUUGCGCGAUGGAUUGGGCCGUUGUGGGAUUAGCUAGUUGGCGGGGUAAAGGCCCACAAAGGCGACGCUCCGUAGCUGGUCUGAGAGGAUGAUCAGCCACACUGGAACUGAGACACGGUCCAGACGCCUACGGGAGGCAGCAGUGGGGAAUAUUGGACAAUGGGCGCAAGCCUGAUCCAGCCAUACCGCGUGGGUGAAGAAGGCCUUCGGGUUGUAAAGCCCUUUUGUUGGGAAAGAAAAGCAGCAGGUUAAUACCCCGCUGUUCUGACGGUACCCAAAGAAUAAGCACCGGCUAACUUCGUG